GUUAAUUACGGCUGACUAAUCCGCUA
rnacentral:piRNA from 1 species